UACGUAGGGUGCGAGCGUUGUCCGGAAUUAUUGGGCGUAAAGAGCUCGUAGGCGGCCUGUUGCGUCCGUCGUGAAAGCCCGGGGCUCAACCCCGGUUCUGCGGUGGAUACGGGCAGACUAGAGUUCGGCAGGGGAGACUGGAAUUCCUGGUGUAGCGGUGAAAUGCGCAGAUAUCAGGAGGAACACCGGUGGCGAAGGCGGGUCUCUGGGCCGAUACUGACGCUGAGGAGCGAAAGCGUGGGGAGCGAACAGG
rnacentral:rRNA from 1 species